rnacentral:rRNA from 1 species
AUGACUACCGGAUCAUCGGUCUACUCUACCUCAAUUCACCAUUUCGAACUUUAUACAGAAGGUUUUUCCGUACCAGCUCCUUCUACCUAUACCGCAGUUGAAGCACCUAAAGGUGAAUUUGGUGUCUUUCUUGUCAGUAAUGGGAGUAAUCGUCCCUACCGUUGUAAAAUGAGAGCACCUGGCUUUGCCCAUUCAUAA